rnacentral:rRNA from 1 species
AGUGAACGCUGGCGGUAGGCCUAACACAUGCAAGUCGAACGGCAGCACAGUAAGAGCUUGCUCUUACGGGUGGCGAGUGGCGGACGGGUGAGGAAUACAUCGGAAUCUACUUUUUCGUGGGGGAUAACGUAGGGAAACUUACGCUAAUACCGCAUACGACCUACGGGUGAUAGCAGGGGAUCUUCGGACCUUGCGCGAUUGAAUGAGCCGAUGUCGGAUUAGCUAGUUGGCGGGGUAAAGGCCCACCAAGGCGACGAUCCGUAGCUGGUCUGAGAGGAUGAUCAGCCACACUGGAACUGAGACACGGUCCAGACUCCUACGGGAGGCAGCAGUGGGGAAUAUUGGACAAUGGGCGCAAGCCUGAUCCAGCCAUACCGCGUGGGUGAAGAAGGCCUUCGGGUUGUAAAGCCCUUUUGUUGGGAAAGAAAAGCAGCAGGUUAAUACCCCGCUGUUCUGACGGUACCCAAAGAAUAAGCACCGGCCAACUUCGUG